AAAUUGAAGAGUUUGAUCAUGGCUCAGAUUGAACGCUGGCGGCAGGCCUAACACAUGCAAGUCGAACGGUAGCACAGAGAGCUUGCUCUCGGGUGACGAGUGGCGGACGGGUGAGUAAUGUCUGGGAAACUGCCUGAUGGAGGGGGAUAACUACUGGAAACGGUGGCUAAUACCGCAUAACGUCGCAAGACCAAAGAGGGGGACCUUCGGGCCUCUUGCCAUCAGAUGUGCCCAGAUGGGAUUAGCUUGUUGGUGAGGUAACGGCUCACCAAGGCGACGAUCCCUAGCUGGUCUGAGAGGAUGACCAGCCACACUGGAACUGAGACACGGU
rnacentral:rRNA from 2 species